CACCUCUGAAACAUGAUGCACGCGUAUAUGUAUCAUGGCGUGUAUUGCCAGCAUCAUGAAAACAAACAAGCUGUUAGGUUAAAAAUAGGAUUAUUCACUAAAAACAUAUUAUUUAUUAAAUAAAAUAAAGUGUCAAAGAUCAACUUUUAGAGAGCAAUUGGAUUUAUUCCAACAUAAUCAUUUUCGCCAACUUGAUGCCCAUUCUUAUCCGGCUGAUUUUUGUGAUUUUGUACAAGCAUUUGUCGCUCAAAUAGUAGAACUUUGUAGCUGUUUGUCAUUGGUAGAUUUACUGAAGUGAAGAGGAUUAAAAUUGUCAAAAGGAAUUGCCAAAUUGCUUCUACAGAAUAUAAUUUCUGCUUAGUAGGAUUAUCUGUGAUUUUUUUAUUGUGGGGUUAGUUGAGAUUCUCGCCUAAUAACUUACUGAGGCCACGCGGUUGGAAUCGCUAUCUUAUUGUCAGGUCUCAAAGCUAGCCAUGCCCGAACAAUUAUAAAGAAUCUAUAUUGGACAGAAAUGUUGUUUAUCUGCUGAUUAUAAUAUUUGAGUUACUAAAUAAUUUUAAUUUCGCUCAUUCUCUUAAUAAUUGGUCAAACAGCAAAGUUACAGCCGGAGAUUUAAAAUUCAAUGUGCGACAUAAGAUAAUGGAUUAUUGUCAUUAAUAAAUCAGGGCUUUAAAUAGACUACCCGCAAAAUAAAAAUUUAUUGAAGUCUACCAUUAAGAAUGGGUCCGAUGAUGAUCAACCGAUUAAUUCUACUUAAAUAAGACGUAUUUUGUUCUCCUAUUACACGUAACGGAGAAGAUAUGAAUAUAAAUUUAAUAAAUGACUAUGCUGUUGGUGGAUUAAAUGUUCAUAUUAUAAACUAUCGAAAAAUCAAGAAAAAUAGUAGCACUUUAAUAGUGGUAUUAACUGAAACAUUUUAUAUGGAACAUAUAUUUGAAAGGCACUGAUAAAAAUGAGACCACUUCGAAUACAGUUAAAAAUAGGACAACUAAGAUGUCUGAGUAGUAUCGGGUAUAUUCAAGGAUCUGCAACCAUCUACAGCGGCGGUUGGAAAAUAUAUUAUUUGUCGUAAUCAACGUACUACGACAUAGUUAUAACAAUGAAAGGAUAUAUUAAAUUUCUUAUAGAUAAGUAUAUUAACUUUUCAUUAUUUCCGAUUAAGCCACAUCAUUGCUUUUAUGUGAAGAAUUACUUGAUUUGGCAUGUUAGCUUUUCAUUUUUUUUU